GGCGAGAUGGUCUAGUGGUCGAGACGAAGUGUUGCAUGUGCGUAAAGCCAGGAUCGAUUCCUGGUUGUGCCG